rnacentral:rRNA from 1 species
AAUCAACGCUGGCGGCGUGCCUAACACAUGCAAGUCGAACGAGAAAGUGGAGCAAUCCACAAGUAAAGUGGCGCACGGGUGAGUAACACGUGACUAACCUACCCUUGAGUGGGGGAUAACCUAGGGAAACCUGGGCUAAUACCGCAUAAUACCUAUGGGUCAAAGGAGCAAUUCGCUUUUGGAGGGGGUCGCGGCAGAUUAGUUAGUUGGCAGGGUAAUGGCCUACCAAGACGAUAGA